UAUGGUCACAAAUUCAUCUUCCCAAGCUCUUUGCUAGGAUUGGUGCAGUCGAUGCGAGCACUAUCAAGCAUUUAGCAAACCGCUUCAUCUCUAAUCAGAUAUACUAAUUUGGUGAACUCCACUAUUUCUGCUUUGCAUCCGCUUCAAUGCAACAAGGAAAGGAAAGUUGAUGUACAAUUUGAUUUAACGAUGAUCCUUGCAUUCUUGGUUGUCUUUGCCAUUCUUUGGUUUGUGUUGAGACCCAGACGGUCCAAACCGAAGAUAAAUUGAGGCUCCAAGGAGCAAUACAGACGUGUAUUAAUACAAAUUGGAAUACCAAAUCAGUUGAUUUACAGACCUAAUAUUGGGGAUAUUGUCAGAGUUCAUAUAUUGGAAUUACAUGCUGCAGACCUCGUUCAUGAGUAGGGUGUAAAUGAGCCAAGCUGAGCCGAGUAUCACCAAGCUCAAGCUCGGCUUGAGUAUAUUAUUUGAAGGCUCGAGCUCGUUUGAGCCAUGUUUUCUGUGCUCGAG